rnacentral:lncRNA from 1 species
CUAUUAACACUGAUUUUCCUGGAGAGUGGAAAUAGCACUUUAUACAUUUCAACACUUUAUUUUCAAGGACGUGUACUUUUUAAAUGGGAACAUUUUAUUUUUAUUUUUAUUUUUUGAGACGGAGUUCACUCUUGUUGGCCAGGCUGGAGUGCAAUGGCAUGAUCUCAGCUCACCACAACCUUCACCUCCCAGGUUCAAGCGCUUCUCCUGCCUCGGCCUCCCGAGUAGCUGGGAUUACAGGCAUGCACCACCACGCCCGGCUAAUUUUGUAUUUUUAGUAGAGACGGGGUUUCUCUAUGUUGGUCAGGCUGGUCUCGAACUCCCGACCUCAGGUGAUCCACCCGCCUCGGCCUCCCAAAGUGCUGGGAUUACAGGCAUGAGCCACCACGCCCAGCCGGAAACAUUCUAAACAUACGUAAGUAUAACAGGAGAUUAGAAGUCAUGUUGAUUCUGCGUGGCUUGAUUAUGGAUCAUUGUCUUCCUCUCAUCGCAGAUCCUCAUUUUUUCGGUUUUCUGUGAUGCGCUUGUCCCCAUAUGGGGCUCUGGCGUCUUUCUGGGUCUGGAGGUCCCCAGCGCCCUCUGCCGAGGCAUCUCUUGGUCCGGCGGUCCUCAGGCUGGAGGGUGGAGCGGAGAAGCCUGGUCGACGUGGAUGGACUCGGUGGGCCGGCGCGGGGCCCGUUAGGCAUCUUUAAUAAGUUUCACCGGGAGCCGGGUGGCCGGGAUGGAGACGGCUAAGCCGCGAGAAGUUUACCUUCUACCACAGCGUCCACAGUACCCGGCUUGGCCUCAGGCCUCGGGUCCCGACGUCCUCCCCAGAGCACAAACCUACUACAGAUGCCACUGCCGCCAGGAGCCCUGUAACAUCAGCCAUCGUCAACCCCACCGUGUUCUUCAACAUCACCGUUGACGGCAAGCCUUUAGACCUGCGUCUCCUUCAAGCUGUUUGCAGACAAGGUUCCAAAGCCAGCAGAAAACUUUUGUGCUCUGAGCACUGGAGAGAAAGGAUUUGGUUAUAAGAGUUCCUGCUUUCACAGAAUUAUUCCAGGGUUUAUGUGUCAGGGUGGUGACUUCAUACGCCAUAAUGGCACUGGUGGCAAGUCCAUCUAUGGGGAGAAAUUUGAUGAUGAGAACUUCAUCCUAAAGCAUACAGGUCCUGGCAUGUUGUCCAUGGCAAAUGCUGGACCCAAUACAAAUGGUUCCCAGUUUUUAAUCUGCACUGCCAAGACUGAGUGGUUGGAUGGCAAGCUUGUGGUCUUUGGCAAGGUGAAGGCAUGAAUAUUGUGGAGGCCAUGGAGUGCUUUGUGUCCAGGAAUGGCAAGACCGGCCAGAAGAUCACCAUUGCUGACUGUGGACAGCUCUUAUAAGUUUGACUUGUGUUUUAUCUUAACCACCAGACCAUUCCUUCUGUAGCUCAGGGGAGCACCCUCCACCCCAUUUGCUCCCAGUAUCCUAGAAUCUUUGUGCUCUCGCUGCGGUUCCCUUUGGGUUCCAUGUUUUCCUUGUUCCCUUCCAUGCCUAGCUGGAUUGCAGAGUUAAGUUUAUGAUUAUGAAAUAAAAACUAAAUAACAAAAUAA